rnacentral:rRNA from 1 species
UACGUAGGGAGCAAGCGUUGUCCGGAAUCAUUGGGCGUAAAGCGCGCGUAGGCGGCCUCAUGAGUCCGUUGUGAAAGUCAAAGGCUCAACCUUUGAAAGCCGAUGGAUACUGUGAGGCUAGAGUCCGGAAGAGGCGAGUGGAAUUCCUGGUGUAGCGGUGGAAUGCGCAGAUAUCAGGAGGAACACCGAUUGCGAAGGCAGCUCGCUGGAACGUUACUGACGCUGAGACGCGAAAGCGUGGGGAGCAAACAGG